rnacentral:rRNA from 1 species
AUGUUCUAACGUGGACCCGUAAUCCGGGUUGCGGACAGUGUCUGGUGGGUAGUUUGACUGGGGCGGUCUCCUCCUAAAGAGUAACGGAGGAGCACGAAGGUUGGCUAAUCCUGGUCGGACAUCAGGAGGUUAGUGCAAUGGCAUAAGCCAGCUUGACUGCGAGCGUGACGGCGCGAGCAGGUGCGAAAGCAGGUCAUAGUGAUCCGGUGGUUCUGAAUGGAAGGGCCAUCGCUCAACGGAUAAAAGGUACUCCGGGGAUAACAGGCUGAUACCGCCCAAGAGUUCAUAUCGACGGCGGUGUUUGGCACCUCGAUGUCGGCUCAUCACAUCCUGGGGCUGAAGUAGGUCCCAAGGGUAUGGCUGUUCGCCAUUUAAAGUGGUACGCGAGCUGGGUUUAGAACGUCGUGAGACAGUUCGGUCCCUAUCUGCCGUGGGCGCUGGAGAACUGAGGGGGGCUGCUCCUAGUACGAGAGGACCGGAGUGGACGCAUCACUGGUGUUCGGGUUGUCAUGCCAAUGGCACUGCCCGGUAGCUAAAUGCGGAAGAGAUAAGUGCUGAAAGCAUCUAAGCACGAAACUUGCCCCGAGAUGAGUUCUCCCUGAGACUUAGAGUCUCCUGAAGGAACGUUGAAGACGACGACGUUGAUAGGCCGGGUGUGUAAGCGCAGCGAUGCGUUGAGCUAACCGGUACUAAUGAACCGUGAGGCUUAACCUUACAACGCCGAA